rnacentral:lncRNA from 1 species
CUUACCCGAUUCUGUGGGCCUUCAUCACGAUCAUUUUCCGCCAACAUGAUAUGUGGGCAUUCCCUGGUAAAUAAGUACAGAAGACCUCGGGGCAUUCCCCGGCUAAAUAAAUACAUUUGAAUUAAAUACGAUAAGCUAGAAAGAAACAUUCACACGCACAUUCCAACAUCCAACGAAAUACUUAUUCCUAAAUUUUGCCUAAACGAACCUACGAUUGCCUACCCACUCGAUCUAUCAUGAUACUAUCCAAUUCAACAAUAUUCAGUAAUGAAUCAAAACAAAUAACCUUCAACUUAUUCGAUUAUCAAUUUUUGAUCCCGACCCCCAAAUCAACUAGUUUAUUCCUCAAGUCAUGGUUAACAAAUUUUCCGAUUAUCAAACCACUUUUUAAAAAUCUAAAAUCAACAUCGAACAUGUACAUCCAACGAAGAUUCAAGCAUUUCAGCACACCACUCCCACGUAUCCACAACAACGAUCAAUAUUUUACUAAAAAAAUUCAAUCAACCACAAAAUCACGGCAUUAGCCAAAAUCCGAGAAAAUGAAAGAGUAGAGUUAAAGAGAUGGACCUUAAUAGAACUCGUUAUCGUUGAUUAAUAAGGAAAUCCGAGACCGAGAUCCUUGAACAAGGAACCCCGACUGUGUCCAACAAAAAUCGUUCUAGAGAGACGAAGGCCCGAAUAGCGAAACAACAAUUCGAAACUGAUCGAAAGACACAGUCUACUAAUCCCCGAAAUAAGAACAAACGAGAAUCCACAAAGUCCGACUCUAGCAACAGAACACAAAAUCGGACGAACCCCUAAAAUUCAACACACGACCACACCAACCAAAACAGUGGAGCCGGAGCUCCGGUGAGCUCAGAUGGCGCUGGUGAGGUUGCUGAUGGUGGCUACGACGGAGAGGACGAACGGAGGGAGAUGGCGGCGGUUCAAACGGUGACUGGCUUUACUAUUUCGCCGGCUGGUCUGCUGGUGGUUGAUUCGCCGCAGUUGGCAGAGGCUGGUUCCGUUGGAGUUUCAGUAGUGAGUGUUGCGGUGGUUGGUGGCGACGUUAGUCGCUGAUUUGGCUGAGGACGAUGGGUCGCCGAUCAGUGGUUGGUUUAUCGGAGGCGGGAGAGGAAGUCCGGCGAAGGUGGUGACGGCGUUGGUCGCUGAUUUGACUGAGGAUGAUGGGUCGCCGGUCGGUGGUUGGUUUAUCGGAGGCGGGAGAGGAAGUCCGGCGAAGGUGGCGGCGGCGUUGGUUUGAGUGUUUCUUUUAGAGAGAGGAUGGAGGGAGAUCAGAGGUAGAGAGAGAGGGAGUUCCGCCUCCUCUUUUUUUUUAUUUUUUAUAUGUGCUGAGGUCUUUUUUUUGGUUACUCAUGG